rnacentral:sRNA from 1 species
GCUGUAUCGGUUAGAUUGGGAUACUCAUCAAAUAAUUAUGAAAACCGAGAAUGCCUACCUUUCAAUGGCGUGCCGAUAUGCGGACUUUUUGGACGUAGGGUCGGAUUACAGAGACUGGGACGGCGCUCAAAUCCUAUUCGCUCGGAGUUUCAUCACAUCAUCGAUACAGCCCUUUU